rnacentral:rRNA from 1 species
UGAGUUUGAUCCCUGGCUCAGGACGAACGCUGGCGGCGUGCUUAACACAUGCAAGUCGAGCGAUGAAGCUUCCUUCGGGAAGUGGAUUAGCGGCGGACGGGUGAGUAACACGUGGGUAACCUGCCUCAAAGUGGGGGAUAGCCUUCCGAAAGGAAGAUUAAUACCGCAUAACAUAAGAGAAUCGCAUGAUUUUCUUAUCAAAGAUUUAUUGCUUUGAGAUGGACCCGCGGCGCAUUAGCUAGUUGGUAAGGUAACGGCUUACCAAGGCAACGAUGCGUAGCCGACCUGAGAGGGUGAUCGGCCACAUUGGAACUGAGACACGGUCCAGACUCCUACGGGAGGCAGCAGUGGGGAAUAUUGCGCAAUGGGGGAAACCCUGACGCAGCAACGCCGCGUGGGUGAUGAAGGUCUUCGGAUUGUAAAGCCCUGUUUUCUGGGACGAUAAUGACGGUACCAGAGGAGGAAGCCACGG